rnacentral:rRNA from 1 species
CCUACGGGAGGCAGCAGUGGGGAAUAUUGCUCAAUGGGCGAAACCCUGAUGCAGCGACGUCGCGUGAGUGAUGAAGUACCUAGGUAUGUAAAGCUUUUUUAGCAGGGGAGAUAAUGACGGUACGUGACUCAGAAGCUCCGGCUAAAUACGUGCCAGCAGCCGCUGUAAUACGUAUGGAGCAAGCGUUAUCCGGAUUUACUGGGUGUAAGGGAGCGCUGAUGGGAGGGCAAGUUUGAUGUGAAAGUCCGGGGCUCAACCCCGGGACUGCAUUGGAAACUGGCCGGCUAGAGUGCAGGAGAGGUAAGUGGAAUGCGUGGUGUAGCGGUGAAAUGCGUAGAUAUUACGAAGAACACCGAUGGCGAAGGCAGCUUACUGGACUGUAACUGACGUUGAGGCUCGAAAGCGUGGGGAGCAAACAGGAUUAGAUACCCUUGUAGUC